AUCCUUUUGUAGUUCAUAACAGUGAUUACUGGGUUUUCACGUUCGUCUGCGAGAUGUGCCUUUCUUUUUUUUUUGUU
rfam:Pan troglodytes isolate Yerkes chimp pedigree #C0471 (Clint) chromosome 3, whole genome shotgun sequence.